rnacentral:rRNA from 1 species
UGCUUUCUUUGCUGGCGACCGGCGCACGGGUGAGUAACACGUAUCCAACCUGCCCUUUACUCGGGGAUAGCUUUUCGAAAGAAAGAUUAAUACCCGAUAGCAUAAUGAUUCCGCAUGGUUUCAUUAUUAAAGGAUUCCGGUAAAGGAUGGGGAUGCGUUCCAUUAGGUUGUUGGUGAGGUAACGGCCCACCAAGCCUUCGAUGGAUAGGGGUUCUGAGAGGAAGGUCCCCCACAUUGGAACUGAGACACGGUCCAAACUCCUACGGGAGGCAGCAGUGAGGAAUAUUGGUCAAUGGGCGCUAGCCUGAACCAGCCAAGUAGCGUGAAGGAUGAAGGCUCUAUGGGUCGUAAACUUCUUUUAUAUAAGAAUAAAGUGCAGUAUGUAUACUGUUUUGUAUGUAUUAUAUGAAUAAGGACCGGCUAACUCCGUGCCAGCAGCCGCGGUAAUACGGAGGAUCCGAGCGUUAUCCGGAUUUAUUGGGUUUAAAGGGAGUGUAGGUGGACUGGUAAGUCAGUUGUGAAAGUUUGCGGCUCAACCGUAAAAUUGCAGUUGAUACUGUCAGUCUUGAGUACAGUAGAGGUGGGCGGAAUUCGUGGUGUAGCGGUGAAAUGCUUAGAUAUCACGAAGAACUCCGAUUGCGAAGGCAGCUCACUG